rnacentral:rRNA from 1 species
AACGAACGCUGGCGGCAUGCCUAACACAUGCAAGUCGAACGAAGCCUUCGGGCUUAGUGGCGCACGGGUGCGUAACGCGUGGGAAUCUGCCCUUGGGUUCGGAAUAACAGUUAGAAAUGACUGCUAAUACCGGAUGAUGUCUUCGGACCAAAGAUUUAUCGCCCAAGGAUGAGCCCGCGUCGGAUUAGCUAGUUGGUGAGGUAAAGGCUCACCAAGGCGACGAUCCGUAGCUGGUCUGAGAGGAUGAUCAGCCACACUGGGACUGAGACACGGCCCAGACUCCUACGGGAGGCAGCAGUGGGGGAUAGUGGACAAUGGGCGAAAGCAUGAUCCAGCAAGGCCGCGUGAGUGAUGAAGGCCUUAGGGUUGUAAAGCUCUUUUACCCGGGAUGAUAAUGACAGUACCGGGAGAAUAAGCCCCGGCUAACUCCGUG